rnacentral:rRNA from 1 species
CAGCCGCCGCGGGAAUACGUAGGGUGCAAGCGUUAAUCGGAAUUACUGGGCGUAAAGCGUGCGCAGGCGGUUAUAUAAGACAGAUGUGAAAUCCCCGGGCUCAACCUGGGAACUGCAUUUGAAACUGUCAGGCUGGAGUCUUGUAGAGGGGGGUAGAAUUCCAGGUGUAGCGGUGAAAUGCGUAGAGAUCUGGAGGAAUACCGGUGGCGAAGGCGGCCCCCUGGACAAAGACUGACGCUCAGGUGCGAAAGCGUGGGGAGCAAACAGGAUUAGAUACCCCAGUAGUCCCUGUCUCUUAUAC